AAAAAUUGUAGACACAACCUUCAUGUCACACACACUGCCAUUUUUAGAAAUGUGCCACAUCUUCAACACUCAACACACAGUAAACCACAGAGUGGAUGUCGAUGGAUUGAACACAGCUUACGCUUCUGUGUUACACUCUAUUAGACCCCAACACACUGACACACAUCAAAUUCGCCCGCACAAUUUGACCCAAAGCGUACCCGAUGAAAAUGAUACCCCUUAAUGCCCAAAUCAUAUCCCGAACAAAGUAACUCGAACCGCCACAAAAUUUGUGACCAUAGCGACAGUGUGAGAUAUUUAAUUGUUAAAUUCAGUGCCCCUAAAUGUCCUAAUCUCACAUUAUUUGUUAAUUUUAGUCAGUGUACCACCAGCUUUUGAUGGAAUUUAUGACGUUAGCCUUAAAAAAGGCAGCUAACAAGAAACGUCAAGCUAUUUCCCCCUGAAGAAGGCGCCAAUCAGCGCCGAAACGUCGGACACAGCAUAAACAGCGUUUCACUUUGCCCAGACUGAGUAGCCGAUCAAACUCAAAAUAAUAACAACAGUCGAACUCUCAUCAAUUAUA